CUAUAGGCUGCAACUCGCCUACACGAAGCUGGAAUCGCUAGUAAUCGCGGAUCAGCACGCCGCGGUGAAUACGUUCCCGGGCCUUGUACACACCGCCCGUCACACCAUGAGAGUCUGUAACACCCAAAGCCGGUGGGAUAACCUUUAUAGGAGUCAGCCGUCUAAGGUAGGACAGAUGAUUAGGGUGAAGUCGUAACAAGGUACC
rnacentral:rRNA from 1 species